AUUUAUGAGCAAACAUUUUGUAUAAAUCUUUAUACAAUCUACUUCAAUAGUUAUGCUGACUCGACCGCAAUUCGCUAGUUUACUCUGUUUGAAACUGGAUUGGAAAAUUGGUGAAAAGAAAAGAAUGUGGAAUGGAGGAGUAAAACUAGGAACAUUGAUAUUCAAAUCCCCAAAAAAGCCCCGAAAAUUGAUUUUUUCAUUAUACCUGGCAAUAAACAUGUUAAACAAAUACUGCUGAAGUAUGGCAUCAAUCAAUCUCGAAGACAAUGGGCGAUCGAUGUGCGUAUAAAACUCAUAAAUAUUUUAUUGCGACGUGGAACACAAAAAACAAAUUUUCCUCUUCCUUAGAGGUGACUGUAUGAAUCUCAUACAAUUAUAGGAAAGCUGUUCAACGAACCGUACCCAAUCUGUAAGUAAAAUUUGCAAGCUGCAGAGUAGGAGGUUUGGCAUUGAAGAUACCAUUAACCUCUGGCGUGAUUGCAUAAUGUUAUUGCGUUUUAUUAGCAACCGAGUUUAAAAUUAGCACCGCUCUAAUGGUUCCUGCCCAAACGUUGCCAGGGGGGCAAAAAAUCGGUGGCUUUGUUAGCGUGCAAACCGUCCAUCUAGGAAGCUGCCGAAUGUGCUUAGAAACUUGCGGAUAUUUUCAGUAUGAAUCAGCAGCUUACAAAGUCAUUUGCCCUGCUCAAUGCAGGUUUAAAAAGCCAACUUUUUUUGUUGGUAUUUCCUAGUUCGUCAACUUCCGGAGGAUCAUAAGCGGGUAGAAAUUUAUGAGAACUAAAUCCCUUAUAUUUAUAGCAAUUGAUGUUUUAUUUUUCUAUCAAUAUUGAAACUGACUGUCAUUUA